AGCUUAAGAAACCCAAUAUGUAGCCCAAUUAAUCUUUUUGUCUUCCCUUCUCAGCGUAUCCCUUCCUCUUCUUCUGACCAAAAAAGCCAACUCCAACCUUCAUCUUAACAUAACUCCUUCUCCACUUGGACCACUUCCAUUCUUCAAAGCUCUCUUUAUUUAGUGAUCCUCCAAUGGGGACGACCCUUCCAUUCCCUCAUCUGCACCAUAUAUAUUUUCUUAACUCGCCUCAUUUGCACAGAACCGUUGACAUGAACCACUCGAUUCGCUUUCUCACAAGUGAUCUUUUCUAGACGGAUAUUAGCUAUUGCAUCUAAUUAAUGGAGCCUUUUUAAUCAGGUUUCAUGCUUUGGAAGAGUUUGAUGAAGGAAACGUCUUGAUGGACACCAUCGUAGAAGACGGAAGCCUCAGCCCCGACCAUAUCGUUCCUCCUGCAAACUUCUUCCAAGGUUUUGUCUUACGUACACCGUAUUCGACCUCAUGUAACAUAACGAUAUGUGGAUUCUGCCAAUCUGAUAGGGCCAUUGGAGAAAUGCCAUAUCAAAUGUUGUCCAUGUGCAUAGCGCCUGUAUCGAAUGGUAUUACAAAAUUUUUAACUUUUUGCCAAUAUUUGUUUUUGAAAACCCCGUGUGUAGAAUUUGGCUAGAGUGUUACACCCUCUUUUGAAUGAUAAAAGUAUUAAAAGCAGUUGAAUGACUGAAAAUCAAGUGUAUAAAUGCAAUCUGAAAGGAGAAGCCUUUUUUUAGGGGAAAGCCUUAGUCUGCUGUGUCAAGUCUUUCUGAAUUCCUGCUGAGCUUUGUUCUCUUGAAUAAAAAACAGGAUAUUACAAAAGAUCUUAUUCUCUGUGAAUCAGCAGUCAUAGAGUGAUAAGGUCAGUACUAAGCAUCUUACCACAAGAGACAAGACAACCAAGAAACCCCAUCCUUUGUGGAUGUGUCUACUUUGGUUCAAAGUAUAUAUAAUAGAGCUUUUGCAAACAAAAAGACUAACCUUUGCAUUGCUUUGCUUUUCCAUAGUGAUGGAUCCAAUGCGACCAGAUAAAGGGACGAAAGCAAGUCUCAAAGCUUCUCAAACCUUCUCAUGAAGAACCAUUUGAGAUGCAUGUUGCCUCUCAAAGAUUUUGACGAUGGACCAAAAACUGGAAAAAUCAAAGCAGCAACUACUAACUCGGCCUCAAAAGAUCAAUUAACAGUGCAUGACUUCUUCAUCAAGCUUGAUAUCAUGUUGAAUCGGGCAAAGUUAAAAACCAGAACCACGCAUGUCUUCGCAAUUAUAUUGAGAAGAAAUUUUUAAAUCGUUGUUUGUGGACUGUUUGUAGAUCGCUGCCGGAGUUUCAGUUGAAAUCAUCGUAGACAUGAACGAUCCAGCUAACUUCGCAUUACUUCAGCAGGGCGAGUAAUCUGAUGUAUGCGUCAUCAUUUUGGAGAAUUUCGUAUUAACGAAGUCGUCAAGAUUAUGUAGGGAUGCAAGCAUGUUGUUUCGAGUAGAGUGAAUUGCUCAGUCUGCACUUUCGUAUCUCUAUUUCACAAUCUGAUUUAUCUAAUCUCUAUAUUUAAGACAUGUUUUUCGAUCAUAUGAUGACGGUACCUGUGAAUUCAUGUGGAGAAAUAAUCCUUCACUCAUUAAUUUGUAGGAGAACCCUUUUAAGAUUAUGUAUUUGUCUCUUAAAUUAAUGUUUCAAAUAA